GUGUCCUCUUGGGCAAUACAGGUACUAAAGCUGGACCGGUUCAGAGAUGACCAUGGCCCCUGUAUAAGAACGACAUGCACAUUCAUGAAGCAUUCCACCUUUUU